AGCGAACGCUGGCGGCAGGCCUAACACAUGCAAGUCGAACGAAGUCCUCGGACUUAGUGGCGGACGGGUGAGUAACACGUGGGAACGUGCCUUUAGGUCCGGAAUAACUCAGGGAAACUUGUGCUAAUACCGAAUAUGCCCUUCGGGGGAAAGAUUUAUCGCCUUUAGAGCGGCCCGCGUCUGAUUAGCUAGUUGGUGAGGUAAAGGCUCACCAAGGCGACGAUCAGUAGCUGGUCUGAGAGGAUGAUCAGCCACAUUGGGACUGAGACACGGCCCAAACUCCUACGGGAGGCAGCAGUGGGGAAUCUUGCGCAAUGGGCGAAAGCUUGACGCAGCCAUGCCGCGUGAAUGAUGAAGGUCUUAGGAUUGUAAAAUUCUUUCACCGGGGACGAUAAUGACGGUACCCGGAGAAGAAGCCCCGGCUAACUUCGUGCCAGCCGCCGCUGUAAAAC
rnacentral:rRNA from 1 species